UUAAACCUAUAUUUUGGAAAACAAACAGUUUAUACUACUAAAAAUGAACAAUCCAACAGUCUAUUGUUUUAAGAAAUGGUCAUAGUAAUGAAAAAUAAUGUUCUUAUAUGAAUUCUUCUACAAAAUUGUAACAAUGGAACACAUAUGAGAGAAAGAAUUGGGCAGCAUUUCUAUUGAAUUUUGGACAGCACUUCAAUUGAACUUUACACAGGAAAACAUCAAAUAUUGACAGCCAAACAAGGAAAUUUUGCAUAGCAUAACACUUACCACUUUGACAUAAAACUGAGAAAAUGUUGACAGCCAAACAAUGACUAGUGAAAACCACAUAAUACAAAGUUCAUAGUUCAUCACAAGUUCACAACAACAUUGUUGAAAGUGCAUGGUUCAUCACAACAUCAUUCAAGGUUCAUAGUUCAUCACAACAGCACACAUAAUUCGAAGUUCAUCACAACAAAAGAAAUGGCACGAGAUGAUCACGUUGACCUCAACAAUCCACAUGAGAAGAUCAUGUAGACAUCCAUCUUCAAAAUAGCAAGAGCAACACCCACAUGGCGAAUAUCUACAUGUAACACAGAUUUGUAAACUUGAUAUUCUCAAUAUGUCAAGAUAGGAAAACUGAGACAUGUAAAAACAUUAGUUACCAAUUGUUGUCACCCCCCACAUCAACAAUCUUGGGCAACUUGAUAUUCUCAACAGCGUUCUCCUCAUCUUCAUCCCUCUCCUAAUUAUUUGUAAGUUAGCCAC
rnacentral:lncRNA from 1 species